AGCGAUGCAUCCCGCCGCCGCGCCUUUUCCCAAAAAGGUGAGGAAAGUCCGGGCUCCGCAGGGCAUGAUGCCGGGUAACCCCCGGGCGUUUUCGCAAGAAAACGACAGCCAGCGCAACAGAAAAUAAACCGCCGCCCCCCGGGGCGGUAAGGGUGAAACGGCAGGGUAAAAGCCUACCGCGGAACCGGCAACGGUUUCGGCACGGCAAGCCUCAUCAGGAGCAAAGUCAGACAGCGGCAGAAUUGCCCGUUCCCGCCGCGGGUAGACUGCGAAGAACCGCAUCGCAAGACGCGGUCAAGAUAAAUGGCGGCACGUCAGGGCUUCCCCCUGAUCCACAGAACCCGGCUUAUGAUGCAUCGCUUUUU
rnacentral:RNase_P_RNA from 1 species